CCCACUGGUGGUGGCGGAGCUGGCGCGGCUGGAGUUGCUGGCGGAGGGGGGGGCGGCGGCGGCGCGCACCGCCCGCCUCGCCCUGCGCUCCGCGAUCGCCUCCUGCCCCGUCGAGCACGCCAUCUACGUCGCGAGGGUGGUCGGCGAGGUGGAAUCAGACGCUGGCGAGGGCGCGCUCGUGUACGCCGUGCUGGGCCGAGCGACGGACGCUCCCCCCUCGCCCCCCGCGCCCGCCGACCGCGUCGCCGCGCUGCAGCGGUGCGAGGAGCGCUGCGCGGAGCUGGAGCGGCGGUGGGCGGCAGGAGAAGGGGCGGGAGCGGAC